rnacentral:rRNA from 1 species
AGAUUAAGUUAUUAAGGGCGCACGGUGGAUGCCUUGGCACUAGAAGCCGAUGAAGGACGUUACUAACGACGAUAUGCUUUGGGGAGCUGUAAGUAAGCGUUGAUCCAGAGAUUUCCGAAUGGGGAAACCCAGCAUGAGUUAUGUCAUGUUAUCGAUAUGUGAAUACAUAGCAUAUCAGAAGGCAGACCCGGAGAACUGAAACAUCUUAGUACCCGGAGGAAGAGAAAGAAAAAUCGAUUCCCUGAGUAGCGGCGAGCGAAACGGGAAGAGCCCAAACCAACAAGCUUGCUUGUUGGGGUUGUAGGACACUCUAUACGGAGUUACAAAAGUAUAUAUUAGACGAAUCAUCUGGAAAGUUGAAUCAAAGAAGGUAAUAAUCCUGUAGUCGAAAAUAUAUACUCUCUUGAGUGGAUCCUGAGUACGACGGAGCACGUGAAAUUCCGUCGGAAUCUGGGAGGACCAUCUCCUAAGGCUAAAUACUCUCUAGUGACCGAUAGUGAACCAGUACCGUGAGGGAAAGGUGAAAAGUACCCCGGAAGGGGAGUGAAAAAGAACUUGAAACCGUGUGCUUACAAGUAGUCAGAGCCCGUUAAUGGGUGAUGGCGUGCCUUUUGUAGAAUGAACCGGCGAGUUACGAUUUGAUGCAAGGUUAAGCAGCUAAUGUGGAGCCGUAGCGAAAGCGAGUCUGAAUAGGGCGUUUAGUAUUUGGUCGUAGACCCGAAACCAGGUGAUCUACCCUUGGUCAGGUUGAAGUUCAGGUAACACUGAAUGGAGGACCGAACCGACUUACGUUGAAAAGUGAGCGGAUGAACUGAGGGUAGCGGAGAAAUUCCAAUCGAACUUGGAGAUAGCUGGUUCUCUCCGAAAUAGCUUUAGGGCUAGCCUCAAGUGAUGAUUAUUGGAGGUAGAGCACUGUUUGGACGAGGGGCCCUUCUCGGGUUACCGAAUUCAGACAAACUCCGAAUGCCAAUUAAUUUAACUUGGGAGUCAGAACAUGGGUGAUAAGGUCCGUGUUCGAAAGGGAAACAGCCCAGACCACCAGCUAAGGUCCCAAAAUAUAUGUUAAGUGGAAAAGGAUGUGGCGUUGCCCAGACAACUAGGAUGUUGGCUUAGAAGCAGCCAUCAUUUAAAGAGUGCGUAAUAGCUCACUAGUCGAGUGACACUGCGCCGAAAAUGUACCGGGGCUAAACAUAUUACCGAAGCUGUGGAUUGUCCGUAGGACAAUGGUAGGAGAG